rnacentral:misc_RNA from 1 species
UUUUGAGUCAAAUACUCUAUGCUUGCAAAUUGAGGCAUAAAUAAUAAUAAUUUGUUAAAUAUUUUUUGUUAUAAAAAAAUAUAUUUUAUGGAUCAUGAUGUGGAUUAAUUAAUAGAUGGUUAGUUUAAUAAUUAUUAGAGGUCCUAACAUGAAUUUGAUUAAUUAAAGUAAAUUAUUGAGUUUAGUGAUUCAUGAAGCAUUAUGAUCCUAUGAUACGUUAUAUUGUAAAAUGUUUAUGAGAUUGUGUUAUGCAAUAAAAUGGUAAAUAAUUAUCUUCUUAUUGCUAAUUAAGCUUAUUUUGUGAUGAUGGAAUUAAGCAAUAAAUACAUUGAGAGCUACGUGAACCUGACCUUUCACUUUGUAAUAGAGGUACAUAGGUAGCCUUCGAGUGCUGUUCGAAGUAGGUUAAUUUUAAUUUUCUUUAUUUUUAAAAUUUCCUUUUUAUUUUUUUAAAUUUUAGAUUUGGA